rnacentral:rRNA from 1 species
AUUGAACGCUGGCGGCAUGCUUUACACAUGCAAGUCGAACGGUAACAGGUUAAGCUGACGAGUGGCGAACGGGUGAGUAAUGCAUCGGAACGUGCCCGAUCGUGGGGGAUAACGCAGCGAAAGCUGCGCUAAUACCGCAUACGAUCUGAGGAUGAAAGCGGGGGACCGUAAGGCCUCGCGCGAUCGGAGCGGCCGAUGUCAGAUUAGGUAGUUGGUGGGGUAAAGGCCCACCAAGCCGACGAUCUGUAGCUGGUCUGCGAGGACGACCAGCCACACUGGGACUGAGACACGGCCCAGCCUCCUACGGGAGGCAGCAGUGGGGAAUUUUGGACAAUGGGCGACAGCCUGAUCCAGCAAUGCCGCGUGCAGGAAGAAGGCCUUCGGGUUGUAAACUGCUUUUGUACGGAGCGAAAAGGUCCUUUCUAAUACAAGGGGCUCAUGACGGUACCGUAAGAAUAAGCACCGGCUAACUACGUGCCAGCCGCCGCAGUAAAAC